rnacentral:lncRNA from 1 species
GAGAUGUGUCCGUGACUGCUUACCGUCCUCUUGGUGGCUCGUGUGAGGGGGUUGACCUGAUAGACAACCCUGUGAUCAAGAGGAUUGCAAAGGAGCACGAUUUUGAUCCGAUUUCAAAUCCAGAGGAAUGUGAUAGUGAUCCCCGGAUCUAUCACCCCAAGUCACAUUAAAGAGAAUAUCCAGGUGUUUGAUUUUGAAUUAACACAGCACGAUAUGGAUAACAUCCUCAGCCUAAACAGGAAUCUCCGACUGGCCAUGUUCCCCAUGUAAAUAUGGCUCCUUCUUUUUAAAACAGAGGGAAGAAUAUACAGAUUGAAUGAUUGGUGUCUGAAUAGGUAUUUAUCAUACACAUUUUAGAUUAAUUAAACUUUCUCAUUAUAA